rnacentral:rRNA from 1 species
ACGCCCCGCAAGGGGAGUGGCAGACGGGUGAGUAACGCGUGGGAACAUACCCUUUCCUGCGGAAUAGCUCCGGGAAACUGGAAUUAAUACCGCAUACGCCCUACGGGGGAAAGAUUUAUCGGGGAAGGAUUGGCCCGCGUUGGAUUAGCUAGUUGGUGGGGUAAAGGCCUACCAAGGCGACGAUCCAUAGCUGGUCUGAGAGGAUGAUCAGCCACAUUGGGACUGAGACACGGCCCAAACUCCUACGGGAGGCAGCAGUGGGGAAUAUUGGACAAUGGGCGCAAGCCUGAUCCAGCCAUGCCGCGUGAGUGAUGAAGGCCUUAGGGUUGUAAAGCUCUUUCACCGAUGAAGAUAAUGACGGUAGUCGGAGAAGAAGCCCCGGCUAACUUCGUGCCAGCAGCCGCGGUAAUACGAAGGGGGCUAGCGUUGUUCGGAAUUACUGGGCGUAAAGCGCACGUAGGCGGAUAUUUAAGUCAGGGGUGAAAUCCCGCAGCUCAACUGCGGAACUGCCUUUGAUACUGGGUAUCUUGAGUAUGGAAGAG